UAGGGAAUCUUGCGCAAUGGACGAAAGUCUGACGCAGCGACGCCGCGUGAGCGAUGAAGGCCUUCGGGUUGUAAAGCUCUGUGGGGAGGGAAGAAUAAGGGCAAGCUAAUACCUUGUCUGAUGACGGUACCUCCUUAGCAAGCACCGGCUAACUCUGUGCCAGCAGCCGCGGUAAGACAGAGGGUGCAAACGUUGUUCGGAAUUACUGGGCGUAAAGCGUGCGCAGGCGGCCUUGCAAGUCGGGCGUGAAAUCCCACGGCUCAACCGUGGAAGUGCACUCGAAACUGCUCGGCUAGAGUCUUGGAGAGGAAGGCGGAAUGCUUGGUGUAGAGGUGAAAUUCGUAGAUAUCAAGCGGAACACCGGUGGCGAAGGCGGCCUUCUGGACAAUGACUGACGCUAAAACACGAAAGCGUGGGGAGCAAA
rnacentral:rRNA from 1 species